rnacentral:rRNA from 1 species
GCAGCAGUAAGGAAUAUUGGUCAAUGGACGAAAGUCUGAACCAGCCAUGCCGCGUGGAGGAUGAAGGUCCUCUGGAUUGUAAACUUCUUUUAUAUGGGAMGAAAAAAGGUCUUUCUAGAUCGUCUGACGGUACCAUAWGAAUAAGCACCGGCUAACUCCGUGCCAGCAGCCGCGGUAAUACGGAGGGUGCAAGCGUUAUCCGGAUUCACUGGGUUUAAAGGGUGCGUAGGUGGGUUGGUAAGUCAGUGGUGAAAUCCCCGAGCUUAACUUGGGAACUGCCAUUGAUACUAUCAGUCUUGAAUACCGUGGAGGUCAGCGGAAUAUGUCAUGUAGCGGUGAAAUGCUUAGAUAUGACAUAGAACACCAAUUGCGAAGGCAGCUGGCUACUCGAAUAUUGACACUGAGGCACGAAAGCGUGGGGAUCAAACAGGAUUAGAUACCCUGGUAGUCCACGCCCUAAACUAUGGAUACUCGACAUUUGCGAUAAACUGUAAGUGUCUGAGCGAAAGC